GACGAACGCUGGCGGCGUGCCUAAUGCAUGCAAGUCGAACGCAUUUUCUUUCACCGUAGCUUGCUACACCGAAAGAAAAUGAGUGGCGAACGGGUGAGUAACACGUGGGUAACCUGCCCAUCAGCGGGGGAUAACACUUGGAAACAGGUGCUAAUACCGCAUAAUUCCAUUUACUGCACGGUAGAUGGAUGAAAGGCGCUUUUGCGUCACUGAUGGAUGGACCCGCGGUGCAUUAGCUAGUUGGUGGGGUAACGGCCUACCAAGGCUGCGAUGCAUAGCCGACCUGAGAGGGUGAUCGGCCACACUGGGACUGAGACACGGCCCAGACUCCUACGGGAGGCAGCAGUAGGGAAUCUUCGGCAAUGGACGCAAGUCUGACCGAGCAACGCCGCGUGAGUGAAGAAGGUUUUCGGAUCGUAAAACUCUGUUGUUAGAAAAGAACAAGGAUGAGAGUGGAAAGUUCAUCCCUUGACGGUAUCUAACCAGAAAGCCACGGCUAACUACGUG
rnacentral:rRNA from 1 species